AGUGAACGCUGGCGGUAGGCCUAACACAUGCAAGUCGAACGGCAGCACAGUAAGAGCUUGCUCUUACGGGUGGCGAGUGGCGGACGGGUGAGGAAUACAUCGGAAUCUACUUUUUCGUGGGGGAUAACGUAGGGAAACUUACGCUAAUACCGCAUACGACCUACGGGUGAAAGCAGGGGAUCUUCGGACCUUGCGCGAUUGAAGGAGCCGAUGUCGGAUUAGCUAGUUGGCGGGGGAAAGGCCCACCAAGGCGACGAUCCGUAGCUGGUCUGAGAGGAUGAUCAGCCACACUGGAACUGAGACACGGUCCAGACUCCUACGGGAGGCAGCAGUGGGGAAUAUUGGACAAUGGGCGCAAGCCUGAUCCAGCCAUACCGCGUGGGUGAAGAAGGCCUUCGGGUUGUAAAGCCCUUUUGUUGGGAAAGAAAAGCAGCAGGUUAAUACCCCGCUGUUCUGACGGUACCCAAAGAAUAAGCACCGGCUAACUUCGUG
rnacentral:rRNA from 1 species